GACAGAGGAUGCAAGCGUUAUCCGGAAUGAUUGGGCGUAAAGCGUCCGUAGGUGGCUUUUUAAGUCUGCCGUCAAAUCCCAGGGCUUAACCCUGGACAGGCGGUGGAAACUACCAAGCUGGAGUACGGUAGGGGCAGGGGGAAUUUCCGGUGGAGCGGUGAAAUGCGUAGAGAUCGGAAAGAACACCAACGGCGAAAGCACUCUGCUGGGCCGACACUGACACUGAGAGACGAAAGCUAGGGGAGCGAAUGGG
rnacentral:rRNA from 1 species